AGUGAGGGGAGUCUGUGGUGGGCGGACUUUCCCACCACCCUCACUGCGGCCUCCACGUCACCGUCAGGAGACUGAAACUCUCCACCCAGGAGCUUCCAAAUUGAGAACUGCUCAUCAGGACCACCCUCGCC